rnacentral:ncRNA from 1 species
CAAUAUAGAUGCUUUUCGUAUAAUUCCGGGAAUUGGCCCGGAAGUCUCUACGAGGUCACCGUAAUGAUCUGGCUACGAAAAGAAGAC